rnacentral:lncRNA from 1 species
GGUAAUGAACUCCUUCGGCGUCUUCCUGGGUGAAGACAAUGGGUGGUGCUUGGUUUCUUCGGGAGCUAUUAUCUACAAUGUAACUUGUCAGAGGGGGGUGCUUAGCCUCCCUAGCAUAGUUUCUUUUGGCGUUUCGUGUUUCACCGCCAAUGUAAGGGCCUCCAAAUAUGGUAUCUAUCUCGUGGAUAGGGGCCUCAUCUUGAGCUUGCCUGUUCCUUCGGUGUCUACGCCCUUCCCUGGGCCUCUCCGUG